UACGUAGGUGGCAAGCGUUGUCCGGAUUUACUGGGCGUAAAGAGCGCGCAGGCGGUCGUUCAAGUCGCGUGUGAAAGCCCCCGGCUCAACUGGGGAGGGUCACGCGAUACUGAUCGACUCGAAGGCAGGAGAGGGUAGUGGAAUUCCCGGUGUAGUGGUGAAAUGCGUAGAUAUCGGGAGGAACACCAGUGGCGAAGGCGACUACCUGGCCUGUUUCUUGACGCUGAGGCGCGAAAGCUAGGGGAGCAAAUGGG
rnacentral:rRNA from 1 species